UCCACUAAACAUCAGAUGAGUCAUAAGGUAAUUCAUCCGUCCACGAAAUAAAACUAAAACUAACACUAUUGUGUAUUUUUUAAUUUAUUACCAAAGACUUAAAAUAUACCUGAGUGAUAGGUUAUGGCUUUAAUAUGACAGCAACAACUGGCUUUGAGGGAGUUCAUAUUGAGUCCCUUCUUUAUUUCGCCGUAAAGUCGUGUUUGAUGUAAUUAACACCACAGUUGGAACAAUAGGAAUUUUAUUGUUGUAGCGGCAUAAACAAUUCUAAGUAAUUAGAUAUUAAACCAUUAUAAAUUAUUUUUACGUGUUAAAUUUUCGGCGGUAAAAAGGUCCCGUGUCACAGACUAUAUUCUUUUUCCCACCUCUCGUGCGCUCCGGCUAACGCAUCAUAAAAAGGUGCGUUCUUAAACGCCACAGCUUAAAAGCCUAGUUACAGAGACACAAAAUUAAAAAGAGAUAGUAAUAAUACUUGCCAAGCUGGAAAAAAAAAUACCGUCGACCUGUAAACAAAAAUAAAUCUAUUUAACCAUGUACAUUUAAUAAUGUAUUGUAAAUUUUUUAACUAUUGUAUUUAGUAUAUUUUUUAAAAGCGCAGACUGCACUGCGGUUUUACAGAUAAGAAAUAAUUGAUUAAUUGAGCGGUAAACGCCACUUAAAAAUGAUGAAACUAGUGAUUUACUUGUCUUUAAUUGUCCUUGUUUUAAAUCAUACUGCAGGAUGCGACGCUUUGCGUAGCUCAAAUCGAGGAAAUAGUAAAUACGGUAGUGGGAACCAGGGUCUAGGGAAGGCUAAACCGUACGGAGGCACUUCCCCGGGUAUACCUUCACAGAGCACCACAAGGCGUGGUGUGGGAAUAUCUGCAUGGGGAAUUGUGUUCUUAGUCGUGGCACUGGUAGUGGCAGGAAUGGGUUUCUAUUAUUUCUCAAUGUGCUACCCUUAUUUUUGUCACAGACAAGAAAAAUACCAUAUUAUGGGAACCCCUACCAUGGCAUGACCUUGUGAAAUUCAGGAUCAAUUCAGUGGGCUUACAUAAUAUUUUAUGACAUUCUAUGCCACAUAUAAAUUGAAAUAAGUAUUAAGAUUAAAACAUAUCACAAAUAAACAUAUUGAAGUUUGUAUGUGUAAGACAUAGAGCCGAUACUUACAGUAUUAAACAUAAAAAACCGUUUUUGACUAAAUCUGUAUUGGAAUCACCAAUGCAUAUGGAGAUCUACUAUAUUUUAACAUUAUUUAGAAAAGUAUAUUCAGUAAAAUAACUAAAUUAAAAUAAUACUAAUUGUAUAAUACGUUUGGCUCCUGAAAAAGAAAAAAGAAAAAAAUAUAUUUAUCAAAGUUUUUUUUCUUCAUUAUAAGAUAGGCUAUAUAAACUCAUCAGUUAAAUUUAUAUAAUCUGGUUGUGAAUAAAGGCUAACUGCACUGAACCCAUUAAUUUAAUGUAGGUCAUGAAAUUAUAUUAGAUCUUUUUUUUUGUAUAGAUAUUACAGAUAUUUUACUGUUUAAUAAUGAGACUGAAAAUGACCAAUUGUUUGUUAGAUACAUAAAUCUACUAAUAAGUGUUUAAAUGUAUUAUUGUAAAUUAAGAGUAGAUUAGGAGUUACUCUGAAACUAUAUCUUGAAAACAUUAACAAUAAGGAACAAUUUUUCAUAAUCAAAUAGAAAACAAAUAUUUAGAAAAAAAGUGUUAUUUUGUAGCUUAUAAAUGAAGAUGCAAUGCAAAAUGGCCAAUAGUAAUAAAAGCAAGCCAUUAUAAAAACUGUAUUAAUCUGGAUUUGCAUAAAUAUUUUACCCACUAACCCAUAAGGUUGCAGCUUUGUUAUUGUGGAUAACCCUUCUUACCAACAUUACCUCAGUUAUAGAUAAUGGGUGCCAUACAAACAAAAAAUAUUACUUACCUAACUUAAUUUUUAUUAUUCUUAUCAAUAUCAUAUUAUAAAGUAAAUAUCAUACUUGUGGAAAUUAUAUAAGGAUUCAAAAUAGAAAUUGAUUUACAUUCCUUGCCUUGAUAAACUAAAUACAUAUCAACAUAUCAUCAGGCUUGAGUGAAAAUAAGAUUUUUACUAGUUGUGAAAAUUUAACAAUUUUGUAAUUUAAGUAAAAUUAGGUUAAUAUUUAGCAAUUAACACAUGCAUAAGGUUGUCUAUUUACUAUGCAGUGUGCAUGUUGUGAACAAGCUGUUAAACAAAUUGUUAUAUUGUUACUUAGCUAUACAUAUUUGUUUAUUAUGCUCAAAUAAAAAUAGGAUGACCACAAGGAUCUUAUAUAAUUCUAGGCCCCUUUUAAACAAUAAAUAAAGUAUGAUUCUGAAUAGCUAAAA